rnacentral:rRNA from 1 species
UACGUAGGUGGCGAGCGUUGUCCGGAUUUACUGGGCGUAAAGCGCGUGUAGGCUGUUCCGCAAGUCGGAUGUGAAAGCCCUGGGCUCAACCUAGGAAGUGCAUUCGAAACUGUGGAACUGGAGUCCUGGAGAGGAAGGCGGAAUUCUCGGUGUAGAGGUGAAAUUCGUAGAUAUCGAGAGGAACACCGGUGGCGAAGGCGGCCUUCUGGACAGUGACUGACGCUGAGACGCGAAAGCGUGGGGAGCAAACAGG